rnacentral:rRNA from 1 species
UCCUACGGGGGGCAGCAGUGAGGAAUAUUGGUCAAUGGGCGGAAGCCUGAACCAGCCAAGUCGCGUGAGGGAAGAAGGCCCUGUGGGUCGCAGACCUCUUUGGACGGGGAGCGAGGCCGCCGACGUGUCGGCGGAAGGAGAGUACCCGUAGAACAAGCAUCGGCUAACUCCGUGCCAGCAGCCGCGGUAAUACGGAGGAUGCGAGCGUUAUCCGGAUUGAUUGGGUUUAAAGGGUGGGCAGACGGCACGGCAAGCCGCCGGCCAAAUGGCGGG